AGAUUAUGUGAAUUCAAUUGUUAUCCCAGCUGUUAGAACUUAAAAGGGAUGACAAAAAUAAUUUUUUAAUCCCCCACAGGUUUGAUGAGCCAGCCAUGUGACAUUCAUGGCCAGGACACUAACUUCUGGAAAGUGCAGCCUCUGAGAGAUCAUGGACAUCUCCUGGCAAGAGUGUUACAGCCAACAAGGUUUGUGGAAAGUAAUC